UUUUAUGUGUCAACUUGACUAGGCCACAGGGUGCCCAGAUAUUUGGUCAAACAGGAUUCUGGGUGUUUCUGUGAGGAUACUUUUGGGUGAGGUUGACUUUUAGAUCAGUAGAUUGAAUAAAGCAGAUUGGCCUCCCUAAUGUGGGUGGGCCUCAUCCAAUCAGUUGAAGACUUGAAUAGAACAAAAGGCUGACCCUCUCCUGAGUAAGAGAAUAUUCUCCUUCCUGAUGGCUUUUUUUUUUCUCAAUCCUGGAGCCAAUCCAAGAUCAAUUGUUGCACUUAAUUUUUGUUUCUUUAGUCUGAUCUGGAACAGAUCUUCACCUCAGUGUUUCUUUUUUUUUUUUUUAGAGAUGGGGUCUUGCUGUGUUGCCCAGGGUGGAGUGCAGUGGCUAUUCACAGGUGUGAUCAUAGCUACUAUAGCCUCAAACCCUGGGUUCAAGUGAGUCCUUUGAACUAGAACAUUGGCCUUUUCUGGUUCUGCAGAAGCUUCCAGCCUUCAGAUUUGAACUGGGACACUGGCUCUGCAGAUUUUGGACUUGCCAGCCUUCAUAAUUGUAACCUACACUCCUGUCAUUUGUGGAAUGAUUGCUGGAGCCAGAGGCCAGGAAGAAGUUCAUGAGCCUGAGAGAAAAAGCAAGGAUUUCCAGUUCUACCCUGUAAGUCACUGAGCUCACUGAGCUUCAUUUUUCUUAUCCAUCAAAUGGGGAUAUUGAUUUUUUUUUUUUUUUUGAGACCAAGUUUCAUUCUUGUCACCCAGGCUGGAGUACAGUGGCGUGCUCUCGUCUCACUGCUACCUCUGGCUUCCGGGUUCGAGUGAUUCUCCUACCUCAGCCUCCUGAGUAACUGGGAUUACAAGUGUGUACCACCAUGCCCAGCUAAUUUUUUUUGUAUUUUUAGUAGAGACCGGGUUUUACCACGUUGGCCAGGCUGGUCUCAAACUCCUGACCUCAAGUGAUCUGCCCACCUCGGCCUCCCAAAGUGCUGGGAUUACAGGCAUGAGCCACUGCACACGGCUGGAUAUUGAUUUUUUUUUUUUUUUUUUUUUUGAGACAGGGUCCUGCUCUGUUGCCCAGGCUGGAGUGCAGUGGCACAAUCAUAACUCAUUGCAGCCUUGAACUCCUGGGCUCAAGCAAUCCUCCUGCCUCAGCCUCCCAAGUAGCUGGGACCACCAGUGUGCGCCACCACACCCAGCUAUUUAAAAACAUUGUUUUGUAGAGAUGGGGGUCUUGCUAUGUUGCCCAGGCUGGUCUCAAACUCCUGGCCUCAAGUAAUCCUCCCGCCUUGGCCUCCCAAAGUGCUGGAAUUACAAGUGUGAGCCACUGCACCCAGCCAGGAUAUUGUUAAAGAAUUCCAGAUGUGAGAAGUAAGGCCAAAGGCUGCCUGCAAGUUCUCUUGAUGUCACACCGGAGCACUAACAGGCCCACCUGUAGACUAUUCAGUUCUCUAAGGAAAUGUACCUUUGUUUGACUUACUGUUUACCCCUGUGUGAUUAGAGCACAGCUUCUGCAAAGUUAGAAAUUAACUUAUACAUUGAUAAAUUGCCAAUUAUUUUUGUUAUAGAGAUGCAAAGAUGCACCUGUAUGACAAAGGUGUGUUUCUUCUGGCAGGGAAAAAAAAAAUCCUAAACUAAACCCAGAGGUCACAGGAUUAUUGUCCUAUAGGAUAUUAACUAGUUCUGCAUCUAACUUAGCAAAGUUAUUUUAGCGUUUCUUUUCCCAGCUGACUGUAAAUCUCUGCCUUUCAAAUGCUCUUUGAAGGCAGCUUUACCAUUUUUCUGGCUCCCUCAUUAAGGAGUUAAAUAAAUCGUUGACACAUGUUCGCUUUAUAUUAGUAUGUGGGUCAUGUUUAAAAAUGUUUGAAAAUUGUAUUUCGUCAGCAUGAAUGCCUCUCCCACUGAUCUCACUGGGAAGGUGAGAGAAUGGAUACGAAAAUGCUUUGAAUUGUGUUCCCUGUUUUGCAUUGUAAAGAUGUUACUUGGAACAUUCAGCAGGUGGAAUAAAAUCUCCUCCUCUCAUCACAAGGGGUUUGGACGGGAAUCUUCCAAGGCCAAGAAAGCUCUGUUUCCUUGAGAAUCCCAGUUCCUUUCCAUGCACUGCUCCUUAGCAAGCUCAGGGCGGAGAGGGCUCACCUUGGAGGCGGGUCCUGAUGGCAUUGAUUUCUGCUUGGUUUCGCUCUAGCUCUGCCACCUUGGCGUUGGCUUCUGAUAAGCUGUCUUCCAGCUUUCUGACGUGGGCCUCGGCGUUCAUCUGCUCAGGAAGGAUGAACUCAGUGGGGAAGUUGCGGGUGGGGGAGGCCAAGCCCUCCCUACCUCCCCUUUGAUUUUUGCCCUGUUCUUCCUGUGUGCCUCCCAGGCUACCUGCCUGGAGGUAUGCCCCUGUCUCAGAAACCCCAAAUGGCUCACCAUUUUUUUUUUUUUUUUGAGACAGGGUAUCACUCCAUCACCCCGGCUGGAGUGCAUAGGUGCAAUCAGAGCUCACUGUAGCCUCGACAUCCUGGGCUCAAGCCAUCCUCUCACCACAGCCUCCUGAGUAGCUGGGACCACAGGUGCAUGCCACCAUCCCUGGCUAAUUAGUUUUAUUUUUUUGUAGAGACAGGGUUUCACUGUGUUGCCCAGGCUGGUCUUGAACUGGGCUCAAGUGAUCUGCCUGCCUUGGCCUCUCAAAGUGCUGGGAUUACAGGCGUUAGCCACUGUGCCUGGCUUAUUGAGCACUCUUAUGUGCCAGAGACUAUUGCAGCCCUCACAGUAGCGCUCUAAGGUGGGGAUUAUGACAAUCAUCUUCAUGUUACAGAUGAAGAAAUCGAAGCACAGGUUAUUUUAUUUUUUAUUUUAUUUUAUUUUAUUUUUGAGACAGAGUCUUGCUCUGUCGCCCAGGCUGGAGUGCAGUGGCGCAAUCUCGGCUCAAUGCAACCUCUGCCUCCCAGGUUCAAGCAAUUUUUGUAUUUUUAGUAGAGACAGGGUUUCACCAUGUUGGCCAGGCUGGUCUUGAACUUGUGACCUCAGGUGAUCUGCCUGCCUCAGCCUCCCAAAGUGCUGGGAUUACAGGCGUAAGCCACUGUGCCCAGCAGGUUAUUUUAUUUUAUUUUAUUUUAUUUUAGAGACAGGGUCUUACUCUGUUGCCCAGGCUGGAGUGCAGUGGUGCAGUCAUACUCACUGCAGUCUCAACCCCCUGGGCUCAAGCGAUCCUCCUGCCUCAGCCUCCUGAGUAGCUAGGACUACAGGCACAUGCUACCAUCCCUGGCUAAUUUCAUUUUUUGAGGAGACGAGGUCUGGCUAUGUUGUCCAGGCUGGUCCCCAACUCCUGGCCUCUCAAAAGCAAUCCUCCUGCCUCAGCCUCCCAAAGUGCUGGGAUUACAGGAGUGAGCCACUGCGUCCGGCCCACAGUUAGGUUAUUCACCUUGGACUUCUGUAUCGUCUCCAUGCUGGCAUUGAGGUCAUCAAUCUCAGCCU
rnacentral:lncRNA from 1 species